rnacentral:rRNA from 1 species
UACAGAGGGGGCGAGCGUUGUUCGGAAUUACUGGGCGUAAAGCGCGCGUAGGCGGCUUUGCAAGUCGGGGUGUGAAAUCCCCAGGCUUAACCUGGGAACUGCAUUCGAGACUGCAUUGCUAGAGUAUGGGAGAGGGAAGUGGAAUUUCAGGUGUAGCGGUGAAAUGCGUAGAUAUCUGAAGGAACAUCAGUGGCGAAAGCGACUUCCUGGACCAAUACUGACGCUCAUGUGCGAAAGCGUGGGGAGCAAACAGGG